rnacentral:rRNA from 1 species
UGGGGAAUAUUGCACAAUGGGCGCAAGCCUGAUGCAGCGACGCCGCGUGGGGGAUGACGGCCUUCGGGUUGUAAACUCCUUUCGCUAGGGACGAAGCUUUUUGUGACGGUACCUAGAUAAGAAGCACCGGCUAACUACGUGCCAGCAGCCGCGGUAAUACGUAGGGUGCGAGCGUUGUCCGGAAUUACUGGGCGUAAAGGGCUCGUAGGUGGUUUGUCGCGUCGUCUGUGAAAUUCCGGGGCUUAACUCCGGGCGUGCAGGCGAUACGGGCAUAACUUGAGUACUGUAGGGGUAACUGGAAUUCCUGGUGUAGCGGUGAAAUGCGCAGAUAUCAGGAGGAACACCGAUGGCGAAGGCAGGUUACUGGGCAGUUAAUGACGCUGAGGAGCGAAAGCAUGGGUAGCGAACAGG